rnacentral:lncRNA from 1 species
UUUCAUCUUGCCAUGAUUAAAAAUUACAGCUACUCUUAAUGAUAAAAAAAAACAGUAUCAUAUUCGUUCAUUCAUGGGUACUGUGAAUGGGAUUGAGAUUCUCGUUUUGGAUACCUAUGAAUGAAUAACCAUGAACAUCUCUUCCCUAUCUUGCUGGAGCGGAAACUGGACAACGUGAACAGAAACUGAAAUUUGGUAUUAGAGAAUUUUUUUGGGAUUUGGGUUAUGAAAUCAUUAUGCUUUUUUCAAUUUCAAUCUCAAUCUUCUAUUUCACCGACUCAUAAAUC